UACGUAGGUGACAAGCGUUGUCCGGAUUUACUGGGCGUAAAGAGCGCGCAGGCGGUCGAUCAAGUCGAGUGUGAAAGCCCCCGGCUCAACUGGGGAGGGUCAUUCGAUACUGAUCGACUCGAAGGCAGGAGAGGGUAGUGGAAUUCCCGGUGUAGUGGUGAAAUGCGUAGAUAGUCGGGAGGAACACCAGUGGCGAAGGCGACUACCUGGCCUGUUCUUGACGCUGAGGCGCGGAAAGCUAGGGGAGCAAACGGG
rnacentral:rRNA from 1 species